rnacentral:rRNA from 1 species
UUCCCCUAGUAACUGCGAGUGAAGCGGGAAAAGCUCAAAUUUAAAAUCUGAGGGUCCUUGUGGCCUUCCGAGUUGUAAUCUAGAGAAGUGCUAUCCGCGCUGGACCGUGUACAAGUCUCCUGGAACGGAGCGUCAUAGAGGGUGAGAAUCCCGUCUUUGACACGGACUACCAGGGCUUUGUGAUGUGCUCUCAAAGAGUCGAGUUGUUUGGGAAUGCAGCUCUAAAUGGGUGGUAAAUUCCAUCUAAAGCUAAAUAUUGGCGAGAGACCGAUAGCGAACAAGUACCGUGAGGGAAAGAUGAAAAGAACUUUGGAAAGAGAGUUAAACAGUACGUGAAAUUGUUGAAAGGGAAACGCUUGAAGUCAGUCGCGUUGGCCAGGAAUCAACCUUGCUUUUGCUUGGCGUACUUUCUGGUUAACGGGUCAGCAUCAAUUUUGACCGGUGGAUAAAGGUUAGGGGAAUGUGGCAUCCUCGGAUGUGUUAUAGCCUCUGGUCGCAUACAUCGGUUGGGAUUGAGGAACUCAGCACGCCGCAAGGCCGGGUUUUAACCACGUACGUGCUUAGGAUGCUGGCAUAAUGGCUUUAAUCGACCCGUCUUGAAACACGGACCAAGGAGUCUAACAUGCACGCGAGUGUUUGGGUGGAAAACCCGAGCGCGUAAUGAAAGUGAAAAUUGAGAUCCCUGUCGCGGGGAGCAUCGAUGCCUGGACUUGAUCUUUUGUGACGGUUCCACGGUUGAGCGUGUAUGCUGGGACCCGAAAGAUGGUGAACUAUGCCUGAAUAGGGUGAAGCCAGAGGAAACUCUGGUGGAGGCUCGUAGCGAUUCUGACGUGCAAAUCGAUCGUCAAAUUUGGGUAUAGGGGCGAAAGACU